UACGGAGGGUGCAAGCGUUAUCCGGAUUCACUGGGUUUAAAGGGUGCGUAGGCGGGUUGGUAAGUCAGUGGUGAAAUCUUCAAGCUUAACUUGGAAACUGCCGUUGAUACUAUCAAUCUUGAAUAUUGUGGAGGUAAGCGGAAUAUGUCAUGUAGCGGUGAAAUGCUUAGAUAUGACAUAGAACACCGAUAGCGAAGGCAGCUUGCUACACAAUAAUUGACGUGAGGCACGAAAGCGUGGGGAUCAAACAGG
rnacentral:rRNA from 1 species